CUGCCCCGCCCCGCCCGGAGCCGCUGCGCACGUGCCGCUCGCCCUGCCCAUCUCCGCCGCGGCCCCCUUUCCACCCGGUGAGCCGCGGGGAGCCUCGGCCGCCCAGCUGCGCACGGGGCAAGACCUGAGGUGGGCGGAGGCCUGCGGGGGAUCCCAGAGGAACUACCAGCUGCGACCACUUUCCCGGAGCACCUGGAGCGCCCGCGUUCCUCCCCCGCGCUUCCUCGCGGCCCCGCGAGAAGCGCCCGCCUGUAGGUAUGCGUCCGAGCCCCGGCCUGAGUCGGCGAUCGGCUUUCCUCCCAGCAACCAGACGAACCCCAGGCCACCCGGCUCCUCUCGCCGCGCAGCUGGACGGGCGGGACGACCUGCCGACCGUAUGCAGAGAAUUUAACUGGAGGAAAACAAAGAAUACUUUGGGUGGAAAUGGAAAUUCCUGACGCUUGAGAAAUUUGAAUACUUUUCCUAAUACUUCAGGCAUUGACGAGAGGAUCUGAAACUACAAAGUACCUUGAACUGUUGUGUCAACGUGCGGUAUCUUCAUUGUUCUUGGUGCUGAGGUGACAACUUAAGCAAUUUACAGUGAAAUAAAGGCCCCCCACCUUGCUCUACACAAACCAGUCGAACUAUUUCUGAAUCAAAUUUGCACAGAUCGAAAGACCAGGAUGUUUUUCAAGCAUUGAAAAGGAAGGAGCCAUGAAGCCACAGAAGCGCGUGGAGGAAACUUGAUGCCUGUUACCAAGUGAAAGAAGCCAGUCUGAAAAGGCUGCACGCAGAUGACUCCAGCUCUGUGACAGUCUGGGACAGGCCAGACUGUGGAGGCAGCAGAAAGAUCUGUGCCUGUCAGGGCCGUGGGGGAACAAGGGAUAAAUAGGUGGAGCACAGAGAAUUAGGGCCAAGAAACUAUUCUGUGUGCUGUUAUGAUGGUGGAUACAUGUCAUUAUGCAUUUGUCCAAAUCCACAGAAUGUACGAUACAAAGAGUGAUCCUUAAUGUAAUCUAUGGAUUUUAGUUCAUAAUUUUGUAUAGAUAUUGGCUCAUCAAUCAUAACAAUGUACCACACUAAUGAAGAUGUUAAUAAUGGGAAAUUGGAGAGGAUGGGAACUUUCUACUUACUGCAGAAAUUAUCUAUAAACCUAAAACUCUAAAAAUAAAGUUUAUUAAUUUAAAAACAAGAAGUUAAUUUACUUUUCCUUUUUUGUACCAUAUCUACUUAGUCAUUUACUGCUGUAGCAAUGACAUUGGGUAGAACUGCCAGCUCACAGGGACCUUUUGGUCUCCAGUGUGGUCCUCUGCUCUGAGCUGCCUGGCUGCCUGGGUCUGGUCUCCAGGCGCCCAGUGCUGCUGUGCAGUGAGCAGAUGGGAGACCUGCGGGGUGGGCGGCAGCUUUUGCUCAGGCUUCCCAAUGUGAACAUGGCUGAAGAGUCACCUGAUGUCUUUAUAGCUUCCCUGGCCGAUUGGGAGGAAGCUAGUUUCCAGGACUUACACUCUUUGAUGGACCAAGCCACUGCCAUGCCUUGGAGGGAUCAGUUCUCAUCUGACCUCAUUCAGAAUAUUUUUCUUACCGUAGACCAUUGAUUACUGAUUCAGAACUAUUAUUCCAUGUUGUUUAUAGGGGACUCUCAGUGUUCUCAGAGGCAUUUGGGUGCUCUGUUCUCUGGGACUCUGAUGGCCUCGUGUAUUCAUGUUCAGUAGCUGAUUCCUGAUCUACUUUGGUUAUUCUGUUCUCUGCAUAUCAGUUGUGCUUUUGGCAUAGAUGCUGUCUGGUCUGUUACCUAGUGAUUUUGCCUCUGUUGAGUAGAUGAGGUGAUCUUUCUGAUAUUUUUGAAAAUAGAUCGUAAUCACUGUCUAACCUUUUGCAUUUUUUGCAAAGGACUCAUUACUAGUCUUUGAACUCUUAAUGUUUGUUGUUCUUUGUGCAAUAAAAGCUUUUCUUUGGUUUCAGA